rnacentral:rRNA from 1 species
UACAGAGGGUGCAAGCGUUGUUCGGAAUUAUUGGGCGUAAAGCGCGUGUAGGCGGCUUUGCAAGUCGGGUGUGAAAUCCCCAGGCUUAACCUGGGAACUGCAUUCGAGACUGCAUUGCUAGAGUAUGGGAGAGGGAAGUGGAAUUUCCGGUGUAGCGGUGAAAUGCGUAGAUAUCGGAAGGAACAUCAGUGGCGAAAGCGACUUCCUGGACCAAUACUGACGCUCAUGUGCGAAAGCGUGGGGAGCAAACAGGG